rnacentral:lncRNA from 1 species
AAUAGAUGCAAGGGUGGAUGACUCAGUAGGUCCUUGUAUGGACUGAUUGUGUUCCCCACAGGGAGAGCUUUAGAGGAAAUAGGAGUGGACAUCUAUAUGGGCUUCAUGUGAUUCGAAGCCAACAUCGAGGAGUUACACAACGGCCAUGUGAUGAUGCAUCAAACAGAUGCAAGGGUGGAUGAGUCAGUAGGUCCUUGUAUGGACUGAUUGUGUUCCCCACAGGGAGAGCUUUAGAGGAAAUAGGAGUGGACAUCUAUAUGGGCUUCAUGUGAUUCGAAGCCAACCACUAUGUAUUGCAAGAAAGUCCUAUGUGUACCUAUGUAUACCUAAUGAAAGCCAACAAGAGCCUCUUAACACUUACCUGCCUAAACCAAGCAAGAUUCAAGAAUAAAUCCAUUACCAGCAAGAUACGAUACGGCUUAGCCAAAAAAGGUGAGCGCCUAGCGCGAGCCUUAUUGAAAACGGCCUAGCUAACGAGCAAUCUUUCUAAAGCAAGAAGCAAU